UGUUUGCAAUUGGGCUGUUGCACUUGGGGUCAUAAGGGGGGUAAAUGCUGGAAAAUCACAUCGAAACCUGUUCCGGAGACAUAUUCUAAGACUACUUAAACACCCGGCGGUGUCGAAAUGGGUCUAUAGCUCUGCCUGAACUGUCGUCCAAUUGGUUUACAAGUCCGGCUGAAGUGACAGGCCAUCAAAAACUGUACAGCGUGACUGAUUCGGAGACGGCCCUCAACUCUCGCCCAGUCGUGUCGAGAUGAUCGGUGUCUUUGCAGAUUACACGGAAUUGAGCACCCGGGCCAGACUGACACUUUCCGGAGCCUGCCCGAGACGGAACUCGAGCCGAGCAAUCAUAGGUCCAGGUGUGACAAAAGACUUAAA